UUAAAAUAUGAUUUAAAAUUUGGGUUUUCCCGAUUGGUUUGAUGGCUGAUAUGUUGGCUACAAAUGUAUUAGCUCUAUCUGAACUCUUAU